GGAGGUGGCAAGCGUUGUUCGGAAUUACUGGGCGUAAAGGGCGCGUAGGCGGCUAGGCAAGUCAGGUGUGAAAGCCCCGGGCUUAACUCGGGAAUUGCAUCUGAAACUGCCGUGCUUGAGUUCUGGAGGGGGUAGUGGAAUUCCCAGUGUAGCGGUGAAAUGCGUAGAUAUUGGGAGGAACACCUGCGGCGAAGGCGGCUACCUGGACAGAAACUGACGCUGAGGCGCGAAAGCUAGGGGAGCGAACGGGAUUAGAUACCCCGGUAGUCCUAGCUGUAAACUAUGGGCACUUGGUGUUGGGGGUAUUGAGUCCCCCAGUGCCGGAGUUAACACGUUAAGUGCCCCGCCUGGGGAGUACGGUCGCAAGACUGAA
rnacentral:rRNA from 1 species